UACGUAGGGGGCAAGCGUUGUCCGGAUUUAUUGGGCGUAAAGAGCGUGUAGGCGGCCAGGUAGGUCUGCUGUGAAAACUCGAGGCUCAACCUCGAGACGUCGGCGGAAACCAUCUGGCUAGAGUCCGGAAGAGGAGAGUGGAAUUCCCGGUGUAGCGGUGAAAUGCGCAGAUAUCGGGAAGAACACCCGUGGCGAAGGCGGUUCUCUGGGACGGUACUGACGCUGAGACGCGAAAGCGUGGGGAGCGAACAGG
rnacentral:rRNA from 1 species